rnacentral:rRNA from 1 species
AUUGAACGCUGGCGGCAGGCCUAACACAUGCAAGUCGAACGGAUGAAGGGGGCUUGCUCCUGGGUUCAGCGGCGGACGGGUGAGUAAUGCCUCGGAAUAUGCCUGCUAGUGGGGGAUAACGUCUGCAGACGGGUGCUAAUACCACAUACGUCCUGAGGGCGCAAGAGGGGGAUCCUUGGACUUCUCGCUAUCAGAUGACCCUAGGUCGGAUUAGCUAGUUGGUGGGGUAUAGGCCUACCAAGGCGACGAUCCGUAACUGGUCUGAGAGGCUGAUCAGUCACACUGGAAGUGGAACACGGUCCAGACUACUACGGGAGGGAGCAGUGGGGAAUAUUGGACAAUGGGCGAAAGCCUGAUCCAGCCAUGCCGCGUGUGUGAAGAAGGCCUUCGGAUUGUGAAGCACUUUAAGUUGGGAGGAAGGGCAGUAAGUUAAUACCGUGCUGUUUUGACGGUACCAACAGAAUAAGCACCGGCUAACUUCGUG